GGGGCCUUAGCUCAGCUGGUAGAGCGCCUGCUUUGCAAGCAGGAUGUCAGGAGUUCGAAUCUCCUAGGCUCCACAA
rnacentral:tRNA from 15 species